UUGGGGCUCAGCGACUGCGCGGCCACCGCCGCCCCCCACUGCGCAUGCCGGGAGGCGAUCUGCCGCAAUGAGGAGCAGCCCGCCUCGUCACCGGGUCUGCUGGCCGUGAUCCCGGCGGCGGUGGCGGUAGCCGUGGUGGUGUCGGUGUUGGCUUCGCUCGCCGUGUGGCUCGUCCUCGUCUACGUGAGGAGGGUGAGGAGGAGGAGACGCAGGUUGAGCAGGAGGAGCAGGGAAGAGCGAGACCCGACCUCCCUGCACGACAGCAGCAGUGACGGAGGAUGCAGCAGAGACUCGGUGGAUAUCACAGAAGAGGAGGAUGAAGGG